rnacentral:rRNA from 1 species
UCGAGGGGCAGCAUCAUCAAAGCUUGCUUUGAUGGAUGGCGACCGGCGCACGGGUGAGUAACACGUAUCCAACCUGCCGAUAACUCGGGGAUAGCCUUUCGAAAGAAAGAUUAAUACCGGAUGGCAUAAUUAUUCCGCAUGGGAUAAUUAUUAAAGAAUUUCGGUUGUCGAUGGGGAUGCGUUCCAUUAGGCAGUAGGCGGGGUAACGGCCCACCUAGUCUUCGAUGGAUAGGGGUUCUGAGAGGAAGGUCCCCACAUUGGAACUGAGACACGGUCCAAACUCC